rnacentral:rRNA from 1 species
GACGAACGCUGGCGGCGUGCCUAAUACAUGCAAGUAGGACGCAGUCGCGAACGGGUGAGUAACGCGUAGGUAACUACCUAUUAGUGGGGGAUAACUAUUGGAAACGAUAGCUAAUACCGCAUACUAGUCGAUUGACCUGCGUUGUAUUAUCUAGUAGGUCGGGUAAUGGCCUACCUAGGCAACGAUACAUAGCCGACCUGGGAGGGGGGUCGGGCACAAUGGGGAUGGGAAACGGGCCAGAAUCCUACGGGGGGGAACAGGAGGGGAACUUCGGAAAUGGGGGGAAACCUGGCCAAGCAACGCCGCGGGAGUGAAGAAGGUUUUCGGAUCGUAAAGGUCUGUUGUUAAGGAAACGGUACUUAACCAGAAAGGGACGGCUAACUACGUGCCAGCAGCCGCGGUAAUUC